UACGGAGGGGGCUAGCGUUGUUCGGAAUUACUGGGCGUAAAGCGCACGUAGGCGGCUUUGUAAGUUAGAGGUGAAAGCUGGUGCUCAACACCAGAAUUGCCUUUAAGACUGCAUCGCUUGAACGUCGGAGAGGUGAGUGGAAUUCCGAGUGUAGAGGUGAAAUUCGUAGAUAUUCGGAAGAACACCAGUGGCGAAGGCGGCUCACUGGACGACUGUUGACGCUGAGGUGCGAAAGCGUGGGGAGCAAACAGGG
rnacentral:rRNA from 1 species